rnacentral:rRNA from 2 species
CACCUGAUCCCUUCCCGAACUCAGAAGUGAAACCUCUUUGCGCUGAUGGUAGUGUGGGGUUACCCAUGUGAGAGUAAGUCAUCGCCAGCU